UCCGGUUGAUCCUGCCGGACCAGACUGCUAUUGGAGUUCGACUAAGCCAUGCAAGUUUUCCGCAAGGAAGCGAAAGGCUGAGUAACACGUAGGUAACCUGCCUUUAGGUGGGGCACACCCUUGGGAAACUGAGGUUAAUUCCCCAUAGAUUUAAGAUACUGGAAUGUUCUUAAGUUAAAAGUUUCGACGCCUAAAGAUGGGCCUGCGAUCUAUCAGGUUGUUGGUAGUGUAAAGGACUACCAAGCCUUUGACGGAUAGGGGCAGUGAGAGCUGGAGCCCCCAGAUGGGAACUGAGACACGGUCCCAAGCCCUACGGGGUGCAGCAGGCGCGAAACCUCCGCAAUGCACGCAAGUGUGACGGGGGAACUCCAAGUGUUUCUGAUUUUAAUCAGUUUCUUUUCUGAAGUGUAAAUAGCUUCAGGAAUAAGGGCUGGGAAAGACAGGUGCCAGCAGCCGCGGUAAUACCUGCAGCUCGAGUGGUCUGGAUUUUUAUUGGGUCUAAAGCGUUCGUAGCAGGGCGCAUAAGUUUUCUGUGAAAUCUGAUAGCUUAACUAUCAGGCGUGCAGAGGAUACUAUGUGCCUUGGAACUGGGAUGGGUCGAGGGUACUUCAGGGGUAAGGGUGAAAUCUAAUAAUCCUUGAGGGACCACCUGUGGCGAAGGCGCUCGGCUAGAACAGAUUCGACUGUGAGGGACGAAAGCUAGGGGAGCGAACGGGAUUAGAUACCCCGGUAGUCCUAGCCGUAAAUGAUGUAGAUUAGGUGUUGCACUCUUUUCGUAAGAUUGCAGUGCCGAAGGGAAGCCGUUAAAUCUACCACCUGGGAAGUACGGUCGCAAGGCUGAAACUUAAAGGAAUUGACGGGGGAGCACUACAAGAGGUGGAGUCUGCGGUUUAAUUGGAUUCAACGCCGGAAAUCUUACCAGGGGCGACAGCAUAAUGAAGGUCAGGUUGACGAUCUUACUCGAAUCGCUGAGAGGUGGUGCAUGGCCGCCGUCAGUUCGUGCCGUGAGGUGUUCUGUUAAGUCAGAUAACGAACGAGACCCAUGUUGUCAGUUGCUAAUUUUUUCUCCGGAAGGAAUGCACUCUGACGAGACCGCUGUCGAUUAGACAGAGGAAGGAGUGGGCAACGGUAGGUCAGUAUGCCCCGAAUCCCCUGGGCUACACGCGUACUACAAUGGCUGGAACAAUGAGUUGCGACGCUGAAAAGCGGAGCUAAUCUCCAAAUCCAGUCUUAGUUCAGAUCGAGGAUUGCAACUCAUCCUCGUGAAGCCGGAAUCUCUAGUAAUCGGGUAUCACUAAUGCCCGGUGAAUAUGUCCCUGCUCCUUGCACACACCGCCCGUC
rnacentral:rRNA from 1 species